GGGCUCUAAAUCAAACAGAAGAGGAUAGCUGGGCAACUGCUCAAACACCAGUGAACUGUAGCUCAUGUUCAAAACCUUACACAGACCAUAUUAAGGUACAAUUUUACAUUACUUGCAUUAGAGUGCACAGACAUGGCAUAGAGAUCACCCACAAUGCUUUGCUGAUGCUAAAGCAGGGAGAAGUGCUGUUUUGUAAGAGAGUACUGAUGUCCACUGACUCUAGGGGGUCAAAUAGGGAAGCACAUAGUGCCAGGGGUAAAUCCAAUGAGGAGGCGAUCGCUUAGCAGUAAGCUUCAGAUGAUACACACGCUUCAUUAUGUAUGAGGAUGAGCCCUUCAUUGCAUUAUUAUUUUUUUAUUAUUAUUAUUAUUGUUGUUGUUGUUGUUGUUUAAGAUUAGUAUCUGUGUGAUUUUGUAACAAGGGUUUAGUGGACUGAAAAUGUUUUUUGUUCAUACUUUAUUAAAAACAUACAAAAAUAUCCACACACUAAUAUUUUAAAUCUGUGGAACUCUAUUCUUUUUGAAUCCAUUAAAUCUGGAGUGUGAGAGUUUUUUUUUUUGUUGUUGUUGUUGUUGUUGUUGCUGAUGUUGUUGAAUUUACUAAGUUACUUGAGACUGCACCUAGCUGUUUACCUUCAAAGGCAAAUGUGGAACAAAAAUUCCGGAAUGCGGUGACAGUAAUGGAAUCUCAACCUUGACAUCACAAACUCUAUGGUAACAGAACCAACUGCUUCUAAUCUGAACAUUCUGUAACAAACGCAUUAUUUGGACAUUUGUGCAGUGAUCAGCAUUUCAGUGGUUUGGUGGUUCAGUGAUUCUAUGUGAAUUGAUCAGUGCUAGUUUCCAAAUGGCUACACUCUAUGUUGGCGAUCUUCACCCUGAUGUGACCGAGUCCAUGCUCCUGGAGAAAUUCAGCUCUGUUGGGCGAGUUUGUUAUCUCUGCCUCUGCUUGAACACCGGCACAUCCCUCCAAUACGCUUUUAUCAUCUUUCAGCAUCGGGCCGAUGCUGAGCGCGCUUUGAAGCUGCUCAAUUUUGACAUCCUUUUGGGUCAGCCCAUGCGCAUCAUGUGGUCCCAGAGUGACUCAUCCCUCAGAAACAGCAACGAGGGAAAUAUCUUCAUCAAGGGCCUGGAGAAGUCCAUCGACAGCAUGGCCCUUUACGACACCUUCUCCAUCUUUGGCAACAUCCUCUCAUGCAAGGUGGUGUGUGAUGAAAAUGGGUCCCGGGGAUUCGGAUAUGUACACUUUGAGAGUGCCGAGGCUGCUGAGGCUGCCAUCAAGAGGCUGAAUGGCAUGCUCUUUAAUGACCACUAUGUGUUUAUCACACACUUCAAGUCCCGCCAGGAGUGCCAAGAGCAGAAGAAGGAAGAGAGACAUCCUAAACCUCAACAUAAGUUUGAGCAGUGUGUGAACCUGUGUCUGAGGAAUCUUGAUGUCUCUGUGGAUGACGAGCGCCUACAUAAAGAGUUCUCACCUUUUGGAACCGUCAUCCACGCAAAGGUGAUGGGGACCGAUGGCUGCUCUGGAGGGUUUGGGUUUGUGCGCUUCUCCUCUCCGGAGGAAGCCACAAAGGCUAUGAGCGAGAUGCAGGGAAGGAUGCUGGACAGAAGGGCGCUGCACAUCCGUCUGAUUCAGCGCAAAAAGGAGAGACAGACUUCCCUCUCCAGUCAGGGGACACAGGCUGCCCCAAAGGCUGUAGUAAACCACCAUCAACCUGCACCCUCCUGUGACAAAAUCAUGGAUGCUAUUCCUCAGGCUCAGAACUCCACUGAUAAUAGCACAAGCGUCCAUCAAGUCAAGCCUCAUCCAAGUACACACAGGGUUACGCAGGACUUCCAGCUGCAGAGUUUCCGCAACAUCCCGGAAGUGAUUGCACCUGCAGUGACACAUCCGCACGCCAAUCAGGUGGUAGCUAUGGCUAAAAAAACCCAAACUACAGUCAUGGACACUGUUCCAGCUGUAGUUUCGGUUGCGGCUCCCACUGCAGCUAAAGCUGUACUACCUACAAUUCUGGGUGCGAGUAUAAAAGCAGUACUGGCUGUAGUACCAGCUGCAGGUUGGAAACCAAUACUGACUGUGAGUAUAAAAGCAGUACCAGCUGCAGUGCCAGCUGCAGGUUGGAAACCAAUACCGACUGUGAGUAUAAAAGCAGUACCAGCUGCAGUACAAGCUGCAGGUUGGAAAUCAAUACCGACUGCAAGUAUAAAAGCAGUACCAGCUGCAGCAACUCCAGCACCUGUGAUAGAUGAGCAGCUGACCAAGGACACACAGCAGUCCCAGGAUACACAGGUUGAGCAUUGCUUCGGGUGAGGGAAGUUGGUCAGCACGUGCGCUGCACGUUCAUAUUAAUGUACUUGGUUUCCUGUGAGCUUCAUAUCUGACCGCUGUCACGCACCCAUAUGAAAUGUUUGCCUCCAUUCAACAAGACGAAUAAGAAAAGGAGAAAGAAGAAGCACUUCCAAUAAAAAUCAAUUACAAAUUGCACCUUAAUCCUUUGGAAUUUUUUUAUUAGAAAUUAAACUGAAAUAUAAUAAAUGUAUUAGUGGUCAACACUAUUAAAACCUCUGUGAUUAAAUGAGAA